rnacentral:lncRNA from 1 species
UUCGACCACAUUGGUUUUGGAUAUAUACAUCCAUCACACAACCAUACAAGUUAAGGACCUCUCUUAUUGCAUUCCAAGGGACCCUGACACUCAAAUUAUCCACAAAAUCCGUGAAUGGUUUAUCUUUCCAACUCCAAUUGUUCCUAAGGUCCAUCCCUUUCUUUCUCUCUCUCUCUACUUCAAUCCUUGAUCAAGAUGUAUACAACAACCAAGUGUCAACUAAAUACCCAAAAAAAUGAAAGUAUUAAUUUCCCCAUAAUUCUUUUUACUACAAUAUUACAAUUCUUUUUAAUAGAAUACUACAAUUAUCCAAUCACAAUAAAAAAUUAUCUGAAAGUCAGUCACUUGGGAUAUCUUGAACACAUAAAAAUAAUAAGGCCACUCCAUUUAAGUAAUUAAUUUUGGUUUGAAUAUAUGUUUUAAAAAUUAAACAUGAUCUCAGAGCAAGAGUUAC